rnacentral:tRNA from 1 species
UCCCUGGUGGUCCAGUGGUUAGGACUCUGCACUUGCACUGCCGAAGGCCCAGGUUCAAUCCCUGGUCAGGGAA